ensembl:lncRNA
AGGUUUUUUUCAGUCAUAAUAAUAAUAAUUACCUAAUACAGCAGUAUAUGCAUGACCUAAUGUGUAUGAAAUUUGGAGCAGCUUACUAAAGAAGAUUGAAAUAGGUUUGAUUAGUCUAUGACAGUUGGGUUAUAGAGUGGAUGACUUUGUAUUUUGCAUAAAUUUGCAUUAUUUGAACUUUUCUCUCCGGUCUCCCACUAUGCAUUUUGCCAGGUAAAUAUAUUAACCUCAUUUUUGUUUUUUUUUUAUGUACUUACUAAUUGUUGUUCAACUUUAUUCCUUUCUUCGAAGAAAAAUCUAUUGCAGUGGAGCCAAAUAUAUAUAUUUUUAUCUAAACUCUGUAUGUAUUUAGAUGCAUAUGUAUGUCAUGCAGAAAUUCCAGGAUUAAAUUCUGUGAGUUACAGCAUCAGAUGGUAGCACUGGUAGCAAGUCUAAUGUUCCUUUUCAGAUAUCAUUCUUAAAGUCUUUAUAAUGAAAUUGGGCUCAGACUGUGACAUAAUCCAGAAAUGUAAGAUCCCCCAUGACAUACUUGUCACUUUGCCACUGAUUCUUUUCCAACUUGAAAGGAGGAACCUUAAAAGAAAAAAAACCUCAACAUUUUUAAUCCAUUACAAUUUUUACAAGGCUUUCUUAUGCAGUAGCUGCUGUAGUUAAGUGUGUGGUAACCCUUUGAAUUUGGGGGGGAGGUUUAGGCCAUUAAAUCCAAUUGGAUUUUAGGCUUCUAUGUUGUCAUAGAAAAACUCAAGCUGUAGAAAUGCAUCCAUUUUAAUUCUUUUUUUUAAUUUAUUCUUUUCCCCUAAUUAUGUUCAGUUUUGAUGUGAAAUAGUAAGAAAUCAGAUUUCUCAUUCUGAGGUAACUUUUGUACUGACUGAAACUGGUAGUGGAACUUCUGCUUCUGCAGAAGAGAUUUAGGACUCCUUUGAAUCAAAAUGGGAGUCCUGUUAGGCGCAAAUUUACCUGGGAAAGUCAAGAUAUCACAAACACGGAUGUCGCAAACAAGCUGGUGCCUGAGCCAAAUGCUGCUGAAAUCAAAGAGGUGUCUGCCAUUAGGUAGGAGCAAAGAAGAGCUGGUGCUGGUUUGAAAAGUCUUGAGAGGAUUAGCUUUCAACUGUGGUUAUUGUUGAGAAAUGGGACUACACCAGUGGGAAGGGCAGUGCAAGGCUUUCAGAUAAUUCCUCAUUCACACCAAAGCCCUUUGAUGUUCAUCUGGGCUUAGUGCAGGUCUGAUUUAGUGGCUGUUACGGUGCGUUAGUAAUAUGGAAUUACUUUUUAUGGCCAAUUCUAUUUAUUUCACUGUAGUUUAAUUGCAUAUGUGCAUAACAAUCAAGAACUAAUUGGAGUUAUGGUAAUUUAUAGUGUAGUAGUCAGGCUGUUUUCAAAGCCCUACUAAUCAGUAAUUGUGUGAAGUCGUAGGUUGUUUGGUUGGGCUCACUUCAGGUCACACCCUACUGUCACAGCAAGGAAGGAUUUCUUCGAAGCUCUUGCAGGCUUCUACAGGGGGAUUUCAUCUGUCAGGACCAUAGAUCUUGCCUGGUAACUAUUUUAAAGCAAAAAUAACUACCCUUAUAAUUUACUGGUUUUUAGAUCUCCCAAAAGUUACUUAUUGUAACUCAUUCAUUAGCUUUUAAAACAGCAAAAAUGUGUGAGGUUUCUAUUUCUAGAGCACUAGAUUCACUUUUUUUCUUUUGUGCUUCAGAACUGUAUCAUGAAGUACCCGACUUCCAUCUUGUUUAUUCAAAUGGAAAGAAAAUAAUAGAUGUUGCUGUAGUCUUUAGGUCAAAGGAACACAAAGAGACGGGCAAGUCCAUCUUAUUGCUGACUUCCAUUGGUCGCUUUUGAAUUUCCUGAUUUUUGUGACUCCUCUCUUUCACAAUGUUGAAAUGUAUUUAAAAAGGUUUGUCUGUAAUGUUUCUUGUCUGCUUUUUGUCUCUAGAGGAAAGCGUGCUCUAUUCACAUUUAUAUAAGCUGGAAUCGUACUUUACAAUCGCUGUCGAUUAUUUUUCCCCCAAAUGCAGAGGAAAAUGAACACGGCAAAAGCCAGUUUCUAGGGUUUGGUCUUCUGUAGAAGCUGAAAUAAGGAUAUGUGAAACUGACAUUUUCCUUAUGACAGACGGUAAAGAGAGCAUUAAUUUCUGAGCGAGCUUUUCUGGGGAGGAGGGGGAGAAACCCUAGAAUACGGAGUCUCAUCAGAACCCUUUUGUUAACGGGUAUUUUUGUUUUUUUUUUUCUCUCAAAUGAUUGAGUAAAUAUCAUGUAUGAAUUUAUAAAUAAUUGCUUUCAGCUAUUUCUUUUGUAUAAGCUGCCCAGUACCCUUGCUAUGCUGUAUAAGUUGUGUUUCAUGGAACAGUGUGAGUAUGAAAUAAAAGCUAAUUUUUGUUUUUUAAUCAUCUGUGGAUGCCACUAUGAAAGCUGACAUUGUUAAAGCCACUACAGAGUUUUCUAUGAAUACUUGUAAGAAUUGCUUUGUUAUAUAUAAACCUAAAUAAAGAGAUUGUAUUGAUACAGAGACAUUGGAUAAGAACGUUUAAAAGGCUAUUCUUUAGGUCUAAAAGAAAAGGCUUGCUGUAAAAUGGUGCAUUAUUCCAUUUAUUAAAGAUCAUAUUAAUG